UGGGGAAUAUUGCACAAUGGGCGAAAGCCUGAUGCAGCAACGCCGCGUGAGUGAAGAAGGCCUUCGGGUUGUAAAGCACUUUUGUCCGGAAAGAAAUCCUUGGCUCUAAUACAGUCGGGGGAUGACGGUACCGGAAGAAUAAGCACCGGCUAACUACGUGCCAGCAGCCGCGGUAAUACGUAGGGUGCAAGCGUUAAUCGGAAUUACUGGGCGUAAAGCGUGCGCAGGCGGUUUGCUAAGACCGAUGUGAAAUCCCCGGGCUCAACCUGGGAACUGCAUUGGUGACUGGCAGGCUAGAGUAUGGCAGAGGGGGGUAGAAUUCCACGUGUAGCAGUGAAAUGCGUAGAGAUGUGGAGGAAUACCGAUGGCGAAGGCAGCCCCCUGGGCCAAUACUGACGCUCAUGCACGAAAGCGUGGGGAGCAAACAGGAUUAGAUACCCUGGUAGUCCACGCCCUAAACGAUGUCAACUAGUUGUUGGGAUUCAUUUCCUUAGUAACGUAGCUAACGCGUGAAGUUGACCGCCUGGGGAGUACGGUCGCAAGAUUAAAACUCAAAUGAAUUGACGGGGUCAUAGCUGUUUCCUG
rnacentral:rRNA from 1 species